rnacentral:piRNA from 1 species
UGAAGCACAUCCUGUCCUACUGCAGCC